CGGGCGUGCCUAACACAUGCAAGUCGUACGAGAAAGUCGGCUUCGGCUGAUGGUAAAGUGGCGCACGGGUGAGUAACGCGUGGAUAAUCUGCCCUUGAGUGUGGAAUAACGUACCGAAAGGUGCGCUAAUACCGCAUAAUGCCUGGCAACACAAGUUGUCCGGCCAAAGAAGGCCUCUGUUUACAAGCUUUUGCUCAAGGAUGAGUCCGCGUACCAUUAGCUAGUUGGUGGGGUAACGGCCUACCAAGGCUACGAUGGUUAGCUGGUCUGAGAGGAUGAUCAGCCACACUGGAACUGAGACACGGUCCAGACUCCUACGGGAGGCAGCAGUGAGGAAUAUUGCGCAAUGGGGGCAACCCUGACGCAGCAACGCCGCGUGAGUGAGGAAGGUUUUCGGACUGUAAAGCUCUGUCGAGCGGGAAGAAAUGUACCAUGGCUAAUAUCCAUGAUAUUUGACGGUACCGCUAGAGGAAGCACCGGCUAACUCCGUG
rnacentral:rRNA from 1 species